rnacentral:rRNA from 2 species
ACCGGGGUUGCGGACAGUGUCUGGUGGGUAGUUUGACUGGGGCGGUCUCCUCCCAAAGCGUAACGGAGGAGCACGAAGGUUAGCUAAUCCUGGUCGGACAUCAGGAGGUUAGUGCAAUGGCAUAAGCUAGCUUGACUGCGAGCGUGACGGCGCGAGCAGGUGCGAAAGCAGGUCAUAGUGAUCCGGUGGUUCUGAAUGGAAGGGCCAUCGCUCAACGGAUAAAAGGUACUCCGGGGAUAACAGGCUGAUACCGCCCAAGAGUUCAUAUCGACGGCGGUGUUUGGCACCUCGAUGUCGGCUCAUCACAUCCUGGGGCUGAAGUAGGUCCCAAGGGUAUGGCUGUUCGCCAUUUAAAGUGGUACGCGAGCUGGGUUUAGAACGUCGUGAGACAGUUCGGUCCCUAUCUGCCGUGGGCGCUGGAGAAUUGAGGGGGGCUGCUCCUAGUACGAGAGGACCGGAGUGGACGCAUCACUGGUGUUCGGGUUGUCAUGCCAAUGGCACUGCCCGGUAGCUAAAUGCGGAAGAGAUAAGUGCUGAAAGCAUCUAAGCACGAAACUUGCCCCGAGAUGAGUUCUCCCUGAGACUUUAAGUCUCCUGAAGGAACGUUAAAGACGAUGACGUUGAUAGGCCGGGUGUGUAAGCGCAGCGAUGCGUUGAGCUAACCGGUACUAAUGAACCGUGAGGCUUAACCUU